rnacentral:tRNA from 2 species
CGGGAAGUAGCUCAGCUUGGUAGAGCACUUGGUUUGGGACUAAGGGGUCGCAGGUUCGAAUCCUGUCUUCCCGACCA